GACGAACGCUGGCGGCGUGCUUAACACAUGCAAGUCGAACGGAAAGGCCCUGCUUUUGUGGGGUGCUCGAGUAGCGAACGGGUGAGUAACACGUGAGUAACCUGCCCUUGACUUUGGGAUAACUUCAGGAAACUGGGGCUAAUACCGGAUAGGAGCUCCUGCUGCAUGGUGGGGGUUGGAAAGUUUCGGCGGUUGGGGAUGGACUCGCGGCUUAUCAGCUUGUUGGUGGGGUAGUGGCUUACCAAGGCUUUGACGGAUAGCCGGCCUGAGAGGGUGACCGGCCACAUUGGGACUGAGAUACGGCCCAGACUCCUACGGGAGGCAGCAGUGGGGAAUAUUGCACAAUGGGCGGAAGCCUGAUGCAGCAACGCCGCGUGCGGGAUGACGGCCUUCGGGUUGUAAACCGCUUUCGCCUGUGACGAAGCGUGAGUGACGGUAAUGGGUAAAGAAGCACCGGCUAACUACGUG
rnacentral:rRNA from 1 species